rnacentral:rRNA from 1 species
UUACGGCCAGAUCACGUUGAAACAACAGCUCCCGUACGAUUACCGAAAUUAAUCACUAUUAAGCCUGGUUAGUACUUAAAUGGGUAACCGCUUCGGAAUAUCACGUGCAGUAA